rfam:Bacillus sp. FJAT-27231 Scaffold1, whole genome shotgun sequence.
UCUGGUGGCGAUAGCGAAGAGGCCACACCCGUUCCCAUCCCGAACACGGAAGUUAAGCUCUUCAGCGCCGAUGGUAGUUGGGGGAUUCCCCCUGUGAGAGUAGGACGCUGCCAGGC